AUAAGAUAGCUCGGUUCGUAUCUACCAUUGGUAUUACAGGGAGAGUUGUGAAGAGAAAAUUAUUGUACAAGAGGACUGGGUUGAUCCAACCUAAGAUGUACUGGUUGUUAUGCCAAUAACAAUAUCGGGAGACACUGCAAGGUGGGUAGUUUAUUUGGGACGGAUACCUCCUAAAGAGUAACGAACAUGUGCAACAUUAGGCUCAAGCUAUGAUUCUGCUCAUAAACGUAAUGGUCUAAGCUUGCCUGACUAUGAGACCCAUUGGUCGAAUAGAGACGAAAGUCAAUCAAAGUGAUCCAGGAGUUUCGUUUAGAAGAGCUCUCACUCAAUAGAUCAAAGGUAUGUCGAUGAUAAUAGGGUGAUGACUCACAAAAGCUUUUAACAUGGAGUCAUUUGGCACCUUUAUGUUGACCCAUUACAUGCUCGGGUUAAAGAAGGUCUCAAGGUUUCGGUUGUUCGUUAGUUCAAGUUGUACAUAAGUUGGGUUUAGAACAUUGUGAGACAGUUCGGUUCCUAUCUAU
rnacentral:ncRNA from 1 species